rnacentral:rRNA from 1 species
GGGGGGGGGGGGGGGGGGGCCUAGGAGGGGCAGGGGGAACGGACCGGGCGGGGUUGGUGGCGGAGGGGUGGGGAACGCGGGGGAACGUGCCGUUAGGUGCGGAAUAACUCAGGGGAACUUGUGCUCAGACCGAAUGUGCCCUUCGGGGGAAAGAUUUAUCGCCGUUAGAGCGGCCCGCGUCUGAUUAGCUAGUUGGGUGAGGUAAUGGCUCCCCCAGGCGACGAUCAGUAGCUGGGCUGAGAGGAUGAGCAGCCACAUUGGGACUGAGACACGGCCCAAACUCCUACGGGAGGCAGCAGUGGGGAAUCUUGCGCAAUGGGCGAAAGCCUGACGCAGCCAUGCCGCGUGAAUGAUGAAGGUCUUAGGAUUGUAAAAUUCUUUCACCGGGGACGAUAAUGACGGUACCCGGAGAAGAAGCCCCGGCUAACUUCGUG